GCAGGCCUAACACAUGCAAGUCGAACGGUAACAGGAAAUAGCUUGCUGUUUCGCUGACGAGUGGCGGACGGGUGAGUAAUGUCUGGGAAACUGCCUGAUGGAGGGGGAUAACUACUGGAAACGGUAGCUAAUACCGCAUAACGUCGCAAGACCAAAGAGGGGGACCUUCGGGCCUCUUGCCAUCGGAUGUGCCCAGAUGGGAUUAGCUAGUAGGUGGGGUAACGGCUCACCUAGGCGACGAUCCCUAGCUGGUCUGAGAGGAUGACCAGCCACACUGGAACUGAGACACGGUCCAGACUCCUACGGGAGGCAGCAGUGGGGAAUAUUGCACAAUGGGCGCAAGCCUGAUGCAGUCAUGCCGCGUGUAUGAAGAAGGCCUUCGGGUUGUAAAGUACUUUCAGCGGGGAGGAAGGGAGUAAAGUUAAUACCUUUGCUCAUUGACGUUACCCGCAGAAGAAGCACCGGCUAACUCCGUGCCAGCAGCCGCGGUAAUACGGAGGGUGCAAGCGUUAAUCGGAAUUACUGGGCGUAAAGCGCACGCAGGCGGUUUGUUAAGUCAGAUGUGAAAUCCCCGGGCUCAACCUGGGAACUGCAUCUGAUACUGGCAAGCUUGAGUCUCGUAGAGGGGGGUAGAAUUCCAGUGUAGCGGUGAAAUGCGUAGAGAUCUGGAGGAAUACCGGUGG
rnacentral:rRNA from 1 species